AACUAUGAUUCGUUUUUGUCUUUAUACUAGAACUGUUUGAAUUUAAAGCACAAACAGUAAAACAUUAAGGUUAUACGUGGUACACAGCGGUAAACAUGAGGUUAAAAAUACGCGAAGUAACAUUCAAACCGGGCUGUUAAAAGAAUCAAUUCGAUGUUUAAAUUUUUAAAAACAAAACUUUAAAGAAGCCAAGAUGAGACGUUAUUUGCUUAAAACAAACAAAACAACAGUAACUCGUUUGUUUGAAAUGUUAGCAGCUAGCAAGUGUCUCUCUGCUAUUUUAAAUGGUACAGACGAUCUUUUGUUGUUUUAAAAGCUCAUUCAGUUCUGGUAGAUGCUGCUUAUUUUUCAAGCUGUUUUAAUAGCUUUAUAUUGAUUUGUAACAAAGCCAGCUUCACUUUAAGAGAACCUAGAUGCUAAUUGUAAAGAAGCUUGGAGUCAUAAUAUAUUUAAACGUUAUAUGUUUGCUGUUCUUCAUCUUUUUAAAUAUGAAGUCUAUACAUGUUUGUGUUUACAGAGGUCAUGUACACUGUGGUCAACUUUGUGGACGAUGAAGAGGUUUCUGGGUAAAGCUGAUAGAAAUAUAAUGAAGUAACAGUGAAAGCUAAAACAUCAGACUGAUCCAGACACUGAAGAAAUUGAUGUCACUGCAAUCUGGCCAAAAUGAUACAACUAUAUUGAAGUAGCCUACUGUAAUGAAGCUGCAGAACAACACAGAGACUCUGAGGACAUCAACACAGAAAAUGAAGGCUCCAAAGAGAUGUCUGUCCAGAUGAGGGUGCAUCAACGUUACCUUUGCUGACAAGUAUAUGCUUUACAAUGUAAAACCUAACAGUUAACUUAACUCAAACCAUUUAAGGAAAUCGGUUGCCUUAAC